UACGUAGGCAGCAAGCGUUGUUCGGAGUUACUGGGCGUAAAGCGCGUGUAGGCGGCUUUGCAAGUCGGAUGUGAAAGCCCUCGGCUCAACCGGGGAAGUGCACCCGAAACUGCAAAGCUAGAGUCUCGGAGAGGAUCGUGGAAUUCUCGGUGUAGAGGUGAAAUUCGUAGAUAUCAAGCAGAACACCUGCGGCGAAGGCGGCCUUCUGGACGAUGACUGACGCUGAGACACGAAAGCGUGGGGAGCAAACAGG
rnacentral:rRNA from 1 species